rnacentral:rRNA from 1 species
AAUGAACGUUGGCGGCGUGGAUUAGGCAUGCAAGUCGAGCGCGAACCCCGCAAGGGGUGAAAGCGGCGAAAGGGAGAGUAACGCGUGGGUAUCUGCCCUCGGGACUGGGAUAGCAGCGGGAAACUGCAGGUAAUACCAGAUGACGUCCCCGGACCAAAGGUGUGAUUCCGCCUGAGGAUGAGCCCGCGUCCUAUUAGCUAGUUGGUAGGGUAAUGGCCUACCAAGGCAAUGAUGGGUACUGGGUGUGAAAGCACGACCCAGCUCACUGGGACUGAGACACUGCCCAGACACCUACGGGUGGCUGCAGUCGAGAAUCUUCGGCAAUGGGCGAAAGCCUGACCGAGCGACGCCGCGUGUGGGAUGAAGGCCUUCGGGUUGUAAACCGCUGUCAGAGGGGAGGAAUGGGCGGAGGGUAAUCUCUUCGUUUUGACCUAUCCUCAGAGGAAGUACGGGCUAAGUUCGUGCCAGCCGCCGCGGUAA